CGGGGUGCAGCAGGCGCGAAAACUUUACAAUGCUGGCAACAGCGAUAAGGGGACCUCGAGUGCCAGGAUACAAUCUUGGCUGUCGCGAUGCCUAAAAAGCAUUGCAUAGCAAGGGCCGGGCAAGACCGGUGCCAGCCGCCGCGGUAACACCGGCGGCUCGAGUGGUAACCGCUAUUAUUGGGUCUAAAGGGUCUGUAGCCGGCCGGAUAAGUCUUUUGGGAAAUCCAGCUGCUCAACAGUUGGGCUUUCAGAAGAUACUGUUCGGCUCGAGACCGGGAGAGGUGAGAGGUACUUCAGGGGUAGGGGUGAAAUCUUGUAAUCCUUGAAGGACCACCAGUGGCGAAGGCGUCUCACCAGAACGGAUCUGACGGCAAGGGACGAAAGCUAGGGGCACGAACCGGAUUAGAUACCCGGGUAGUCCUAGCCGUAAACGAUACUCGCUAGGUGUCAGCCACGGUGCGACCGUGGUUGGUGCCGUAGGGAAGCCGUGAAGCGAGCCACCUGGGAAGUACGGCCGCAAGGCUGAAACUUAAAGGAAUUGGCGGGGGAGCACAAGGGCGAUUCGCG
rnacentral:rRNA from 1 species